rnacentral:lncRNA from 1 species
GUCACUGGGGCGGAGGCAGCGACCGUAGCGGGGCCAACGCCGGGAGGCGAACAGAUCGCGGGCCAGGCGAACGGAGGGGACCUAUCUCAGUCCCCCAACUCUACCGACUCUGCCCCAGACUCACGAAACUGCAAUCCCGUGCUUCCUUGGACGUCUCCGUAUCUCGCGAAGGGCUCUCUCCCGGGUGAUCUCCCAGCCCCCCUGACCUCAUAGCAUCUAGAAGCUCGUCCAGACUGGGGUGUUAUGGGUACAGGCCGUUGAUUCUGUGACCCCUCACGGGCCAGGGCCUCUGUUUCCCCUAUAGGCCUCCCUCCCCUAUGACUUUUGAUUCAAGGGACAGAGCUGUGACCUCCCACUAGGACCCUUGUCUGGGAGUACCUCACGGACGCCUCCCUUCUGGGAGCCGCCUUAGCGGGUCCCUUUCCGAAGAGCACAUCUUUUGACCUCUGCAACCCACUCCCCCUCCAAACGAGGUGGGCAGGCCUCGGCAGCCAUGCCCGCCCUGGGCAUCCCCUCAUCCCACCACCUCCCGGGUACUCAAGCCGGGGUCUAGCAGGGGGCCGACAGCCAAAGGGCUGGGGCAAGAAAGAGAUCAGGGUCCACCUCCCUGCCAGGCAGGGAGCAAAGAUGGAGCGGCGGGAGGAGCAGCUGGGGGCUGCAGGGGCUGGAGCAGCACCAGCCUUGG